UACAUGGGGUGCAACCGUUGCUCGGAAUUAUUGGGCGUAAAGCGUGCGUAGGUGGUCUGUUAUGUCAGAUGUGAAAGCCCUCGGCUUAACUGAGGAAGUGCACCUGAAACUGGCAGGCUUGAGUACGAAAGAGGGUCGCGGAAUUCCCGGUGUAGAGGUGAAAUUCGUAGAUAUCGGGAGGAACACCGGUGGCGAAGGCGGCGACCUGGUUCGAUACUGACACUGAGGUGCGAAAGCGUGGGGAGCAAACAGG
rnacentral:rRNA from 1 species